GACGAACCGUCCAAACGUUAUUCGGAAUCACUGGGCUUAAAGGGCGCGUAGGCGGCCGAGCGGGUCGCGGGUGAAAUCCUCCAGCUUAACUGGAGAACUGCCCUCGAUACCACUGCGGCUCGAGGAAGGAAGGGGCAAUUGGAACUGUCGGUGGAGCGGUGAAAUGCGUUGAUAUCGACAGGAACGCCUGUGGCGACAGCGAAUUGCUGGUCCUUUUCUGACGCUGAUGCGCGAAAGCCAGGGGAGCAAACGGG
rnacentral:rRNA from 1 species